GGUGUGGUAGUUCAGUUGGUUAGAAUACCGGCCUGUCACGCCGGGGGUCGCGGGUUCGAAUCCCGUCCGCACCG
rnacentral:tRNA from 3 species